rnacentral:lncRNA from 1 species
GAAGGAGAAGAGAAUCGCGAGGUUGAAGGAGAAGAAGAGUAUCGCAAGUCGUGACUGAAGGAGAAGCAGAGAAUCGCGAGGUUGAAGGAGAAGAAGAGUAUCGCAAGUCGUGACUGAAGGAGAAGCAGAGAAUCGCGAGGUUGAAGGAGAAGAAGAGUAUCGCAAGUCGUGACUGAAGGAGGAGAAGAGAAUCGCGAGGUUGAAGGAGAAGAAGAGAAUCGCGAGUCGUGACUGAGUCCCAAGAAGUCGACUGAAGGAGAAGAAGAGAAUCGCGAGGUUGAAGGAGAAGCAGAAUCGCGUCUGAGUCCCUAAUUUUGGAAAUAUGAAAAAAAACCCUAAUUUUGACUAAUAUUAUUAAGUCAAAACCUUUUUAAAAUUUUAAUACUAAAAGGCGCCGCCAUUCACG